UAUUUCAUUCUUACACUCCGGAAGUGCCUGAUCUCAGAAGCUAAGCAGGGUUGGGCCUGGUUAGUACUUGGAUGGGAGCCUCUUUUUUUAAACUGCUCAACCUCCCUAACGUGAAGAUAAGGAAACCAAAGGU
rnacentral:rRNA from 1 species